rnacentral:rRNA from 1 species
AUUGAACGCUGGCGGCAUGCCUUACACAUGCAAGUCGAACGGCAGCACGGGAGCAAUCCUGGUGGCGAGUGGCGAACGGGUGAGUAAUGUAUCGGAACGUGCCCAGUCGUGGGGGAUAACGUAGCGAAAGCUACGCUAAUACCGCAUACGAUCUAUGGAUGAAAGCGGGGGACCGUAAGGCCUCGCGCGAUUGGAGCGGCCGAUAUCAGAUUAGGUAGUUGGUGGGGUAAAGGCCUACCAAGCCGACGAUCUGUAGCUGGUCUGAGAGGACGACCAGCCACACUGGGACUGAGACACGGCCCAGACUCCUACGGGAGGCAGCAGUGGGGAAUUUUGGACAAUGGGCGCAAGCCUGAUCCAGCAAUGCCACGUGCAGGAUGAAGGCCUUCGGGUUGUAAACUGCUUUUGUACGGAGCGAAAAGGCUCUCUCUAAUACAGGGGGCUCAUGACGGUACCGUAAGAAUAAGCACCGGCUAACUACGUGCCAGCCGCCGCGGUAACAC